ACUGCCCGGACUGCUUGGAUUGUCGUCAUCAUCGUCGUCUGAUGCACCGGUAAUGUUAUCGUCCUCGACGUACUCCAUCGCAUCUACCGCGUUUAUGGUCAAACUCAUGUUUGGUGUGUGUGUUUAAAUUUUCGCGUUACGCACCUGCGUGAAGUUUACAAAAAUAGAUCCCGUCCACGUACGGCCGACAUCAACAACCCAAACGCUGGCGAUGGUGGUUUGGAAUCACUUUUCACACCGUUUCACGCGCGAUUUCAC